GAGCCAGUGGCCCUGUGGCGAGAGGAUCUGCCCUGACCCCGGAAGGUUGUGGGUUCAAACCCCAUCUGCGUCA